CAGCAGCCGCGGUAAUACGUAGGUGGCAAGCGUUGUCCGGAAUUAUUGGGCGUAAAGGGCUCGCAGGCGGUUUCUUAAGUCUGAUGUGAAAGCCCCCGGCUCAACCGGGGAGGGUCAUCGGAAACUAGGAAACUUGAGUGCAGAAGAGGAGAGUGGAAUUCCACGUGUAGCGGUGAAAUGCGUAGUGAUGUGGAGGAACACCAGUGGCGAAAGCGGCUCUCUGGACUGUAACUGACGCUGAGGCGCGAAAGCGUGGGGAGCAAACAGGAUUAGAUACCCGUGUAGUCCCUGUCUCUUAUAC
rnacentral:rRNA from 1 species